rnacentral:rRNA from 1 species
AUAUGCCUUUUGGUGGGGGACAACAGUUGGAAACGACUGCUAAUACCGCAUGAUGUCUACGGACCAAAGUGGGGGACCUUCGGGCCUCACGCCAAAAGAUUAGCCCAAGUGGGAUUAGCUAGUUGGUGAGGUAAUGGCUCACCAAGGCGACGAUCCCUAGCUGGUUUGAGAGGAUGAUCAGCCACACUGGGACUGAGACACGGCCCAGACUCCUACGGGAGGCAGCAGUGGGGAAUAUUGCACAAUGGGCGCAAGCCUGAUGCAGCCAUGCCGCGUGUGUGAAGAAGGCCUUCGGGUUGUAAAGCACUUUUCAGUAAGGAGGAAAGGUUAAGUUUUAAUAGAGCUUAGCUGUGACGUUACUUACAGAAGAAGCACCGGCUAACUCCGUGCCAGCAGCCGCGGUAAUACGGAGGGUGCGAGCGUUAAUCGGAAUUACUGGGCGUAAAGCGUACGCAGGCGGUUUGUUAAGCGAGAUGUGAAAGCCCCGGGCUCAACCUGGGAACUGCACUUCGAACUGGCAAACUAGAGUGUGAUAGAGGGUGGUAGAAUUUCAGGUGUAGCGGUGAAAUGCGUAGAGAUCUGAAGGAAUACCGAUGGCGAAGGCAGCCACCUGGGUCAACACUGACGCUCAUGUACGAAAGCGUGGGGAGCAAACAG